GCAGUCGAGCGGACCGAUGGGAGCUUGCUCNUUUAGGUUAGCGGCGGACGGGUGAGUAACACGUGGGCAACCUGCCCUGCAGACUGGGAUAACUUCGGGAAACCGGAGCUAAUACCGGAUAACACCGAAAACCGCAUGGUUUUCGGUUGAAAGGCGGCUUUUAGCUGUCACUGCAGGAUGGGCCCGCGGCGCAUUAGCUAGUUGGUGAGGUAACGNCUCACCAAGGCGACGAUGCGUAGCCGACCUGAGAGGGUGACCGGCCACACUGGGACUGAGACACGGCCCAGACNCCUACGGGAGGCAGCAGUAGGGAAUCUUCCGCAAUGGACGAAAGUCUGACGGAGCAACGCCGCGUGAGCGAAGAAGGUCUUCGGAUCGUAAAGCUCUGUUGUCAGGGAAGAACAAGUGCCGUUCGAACAGGGCGGUACCUUGACGGUACCUGACGAGGAAGCCACGGCUAACUACGUGCCAGCAGCCGCGGUAAU
rnacentral:rRNA from 1 species